rnacentral:rRNA from 1 species
GAUGAACGCUGGCGGCGUGCUUAACACAUGCAAGUCGAACGAUGAAGCUCAGCUUGCUGGGUGGAUUAGUGGCGAACGGGUGAGUAACACGUGAGUAACCUGCCCUUAACUCUGGGAUAAGCCUGGGAAACUAGGUCUAAUACCGGAUAGGAGCGUCCACCGCAUGGUGGGUGUUGGAAAGAUUUAUCGGUUUUGGAUGGACUCGCGGCCUAUCAGCUUGUUGGUGAGGUAAUGGCUCACCAAGGCGACGACGGGUAGCCGGCCUGAGAGGGUGACCGGCCACACUGGGACUGAGACACGGCCCAGACUCCUACGGGAGGCAGCAGUGGGGAAUAUUGCACAAUGGGCGAAAGCCUGAUGCAGCGACGCCGCGUGAGGGAUGACGGCCUUCGGGUUGUAAACCUCUUUCAGUAGGGAAGAAGCGAAAGUGACGGUGCCUGCAGAAGAAGCACCGGCUAACUACGUG